rnacentral:rRNA from 1 species
AUGGAGAGUUCCCACCGCCUGCUCCUCGUGGCCGGCCUCCUCGCCGCGGUGCUCCCGGCGGUGGCCGCCGUGUUCGGGCCGCAGUUGGGGGCUCCAUGCGAGCCCACCCUGCUGGCGACGCAGAUCGCGCUCUCCUGCGUGCUCGACAUGCCCACCGCGCACUGCUGUGAGCCGGUCGUCGCCGCCGUCGACCUCGGGGGCGGCGUCCCCUGCCUCUGCCGCGUCGCCGCCGAGCCGCAGCUUGUCAUGGCCGGCCUCAACGCCAGCCACCUCCUCACGAUCUACAUCACCUGCGGUGGUCUCCGUCCCGGAGUCGCCCAUCUUGCAGCAGCCUGCGAAGGUACAUGCACCUACGCCGCCUCUCUCUCUCUCUCUCUACCUGA